CGUGCACGAGCUCGGCAAGUAUGCAUGCGUCUCGUGCUUAUCCUUCAGGUGAUUUUAUAUCUGAACGCACUACUGUUACCAACGCUUUGAAACCUUUAAUGCAAUUAUACUUUCCUGUGGAUAUAUUGUCUCACAUUCCUACCUCAAGAGGACCAACCAGCACAGCCAACCGGUUAAUGGUAAGGCUGAAAAUGAGGAACACAAUGGUUGCUGCCUGCUGAUUCGUCCAAAACUGCACUUCUGAUGAGUGUGGUCCAUUUCUGGAUCGGUGAACGUAACACCAUCCUGUCAGACUGAAGGAAGAACAGACAGAGGACACCAGGGCUAUAACACACACACACACGCACACACACACACGCAACCACACACGCAACCACACACACGCUCUCACCCAAAAGUGCAUCCAUAUGCUGACACAUAGAUUCUCACAAAGCUCAUCUCACACUCCCUGUCAAAAUAUUUCACCAUGGCGAUGGGUGAGACGGUGUGAGAGAGAUGGGAGGAUGUGAACGAAAUGAGAAUCAAUGAAACAAGAGACAACAAAUGACUGGAAGAGAAGAACAAAGGGGGGGGGGGGGUGCACGUCAUAGGUCAGACCACAAUGGUUCUUAAAGCCUGUGGUCUUUUAAAGAAUGCUGACAGUGAUGGGGAGGUGUUCUACUUUGGAAGCCCGUGUCUCUGCUACUGUCAUGUGAUCACAGCUGUCUCUGCUACUGUCAUGUGAUCACAGCUGUCUCUGCUACUAGCUACUGUCAUGUGACCACAGUUGUCUCUGCUACUGUCAUGUGACCACAGCUGUCUCUGCUACUGUCAUGUGAUCACAGUUGUCUCUGCUACUGAUUUGACACACACACACAUAUUUACUCUACUUUGUUCAUGUGUUUCACCUAACCUCAUGACCAAAAAUACACAGAACCCUCUGAAGUCUUUGGUGGUGUUAUGUGGACUGUGCCAAUGUGCAUUCUAUAGGAAGUGCAUCUCUAUAGAUGAAACUAACACUAACGUAUGGUUGUAUUGGAUAUGUGAGACGUACACUUCUAUGUUUCUAUUCCACUCUCUGGAUGAUUCUGACUGUGUAUCUCUCUUAGUUGGGCAGCAUAUCAACUCUGAUAACAUGGUCUUGAACCCGUUAGAUAUUAAUGAAACCAAGGAUAUCAACUCUGAUAACAUGGUCUUUAACCCGUUAGAUAUGAAUGAAACCAAGGAUAUCAA